CUUUCUUACUGAAUCUCUACUAACAGUUCUCCACAGUCGCUGUCCACAUGGGUCAGUGGGACCAAGCAGCACUCUGCUAAUGUGGGACUCUGACCAGCAACAUCCAGCAAGACCCAGACAGCGUUUUCUAUCUCCCAGCUGGAGUUUUUUUGUUUGUGACGGGAGAGUCAGAUUUUUGUUGAAGCUGGAGGAACAGCCUCACACUUGCAGAGGUUACAUGCUACUGAUCCCUGAUGGGAGAAUCAUCACCUCUGCCAACAAAGAAGCCUGGUGGAUGUUUGUUUACAGACUGAUGAUGGGACAUCAUGCUCUGCAUCUUCAAAUCUUUUUGCAGGAUCAGAAAACAAAACCAGGAGACCUGUAAAUGUUUCUUCUCCAAUUGGAUGAUGAUAAGACUGUGACACGGGAUGCCACCUUUAGUCUUGUGAUGAAGCAAAGCUCAGGAAGAAGUGUGAUUAAAUGGUACCCACAUGUGUGCUGCUGAGAAGGAUGUACAGGGGCACCUGCAGCCAAAUCCAAGCCUCCUCAGCAACUUCAGGUCUGUCAGCGUGCUGAGGUCACAGAAACAAGAAAAGCAGCUUCAGACUUCAGAGUGUUGUUUACAGUUUUCUGUCAUCAUGAUCUCCCCUGAAGUUUAUCAAGCAAUGGUGACGGUGUGGAGAGACGGUGGUGUUUCCUCAGAAGAACCAGCAGAGUCACAAAGGGCACGAGUCCAUCUCACCACCUUGACUUGCUGACUGAUGCUCGUCUGCACUGCACAGAGGAAAUCAACUGACCGAGUUUCUGAGUGAGGGAGAGAGGAGUCAUCAUCCAGGUAAAGUGACGUGGAUCAGUGGAUACACUUGUCUCCCCUUUAAAGGAGAUACUCUUAGAGAGAGACGAUCUGAGUCAUCAUAAAAUAUGGGAAGGAUAUCACUAUUAGACUGUCUAACCUGCCGGAGCAGCACUGAAUGAUCACCACACAUGACCAUGUUCCUGCAACAUUCAGCAUCUGAUCUGCCAUCUGUGUGCUUCUGCUUUUGUGUCAAAUGUCAAACAGCUGGAGAGGAAACUACACCAGUGUACUGGGAUGUUUCACCAACACGUGCCAGACGCUGUAACUUCAUGGUGACAUCACCAGAGACAGCCCUGCCCACCUCAGGACCUCGCCAUUGAUCAUGAUGAUUAUAAUAAUGACAGCGAGCGGAACUAAGACUGUAAAAAUCAACAACCAGAAUGUUUAGAUGCUUUCUAAUUAUUAAUGAAUACUGAGAGCCUCUUUCUGUGUUUUGUCUGUUUUGGGUUGUUUUGUUUUUUACCUCAUUUGUUACUAACAAAGUUCAACAAACUCACACAGUUUACAUUCUGUAUGUUUCCAUCUUUACCAGCCACAGUCUACCUGCAUUUAGAAAACAAACCUUAGAAAUUGUCGUUUUUCUCUUUUGUAAUUGAUGAUAAUUCAGUGAAUAUACUGCGCUGCUUCCUUUUAUUGCGUCAAACAUUGCUUUAAGUUUUUCAGUGUUCAGUUAUUUUUUACUGCUGUUUGAAUUCUCUGCAUGUUUGACCCUGUAGACUGUUUAAUGGACUGCUUGUCUUGUAACCGCCGCCUGUUUUUGACUAAAGAUUUGGAUUUCUGACUGUAACACAG
ensembl:lncRNA